rnacentral:rRNA from 1 species
UACGGGGGGAGCAAGCGUUGUUCGGAUUUACUGGGCGUAAAGGGCGCGUAGGCGGUCGUGACAAGUCACUUGUGAAAUCUCCGGGCUUAACUCGGAAAGGUCAAGUGAUACUGUCGGACUAGAGUACAGAAGGGGCAACUGGAAUUCUCGGUGUAGCGGUGAAAUGCGUAGAUAUCGAGAGGAACACCUGCGGCGAAGGCGGGUUGCUGGGCUGAUACUGACGCUGAGGCGCGAAAGCUAGGGGAGCGAAUGGG